AAGUUGAAGCAAAAAUACUUUAGUAUUUUCAUUACACGCACGGUUCCUCUAUAACUCGGUACAGCUUGAGUAGGAGUGCUUUCCUUUCAUUGUGCAUGACUACAUCUGCGAAGCAACAUGAAAUUCCGACAGAGGAUGGGAUGGUUAUUUGUGGUCUUAUUCCUGGCCCUCAGCUGUUUUUUGUGGUACUUCAUCUUUGAGCUGAGUGACCAGUACAACACCCUCGCCCUGGACCACGUCCAGACGUACUCGGACACGCUCCGUCUCAACCCCAAUCAACUCACAUGGUACAUGUCCAUCACCAGACGACUGGUGGCUCUUCCUUUCUGGUUCUGGGCCCUCAUAUUCGGGAUCCCAUACCUGCAAAUCUUCUGUAUCUUGAUAGCGUGUACCAGAAGCGACCCCCUGAGCGCAACUAUCAUGGUCGUACCCGUCUUCCUGUGUAUGAAGUUAGCGAGUCUCGGAAGCAAGUCAGAGAGAACUGAGUAUUUGUCCGAUGAUGAUAUACCCCACUUGCAGACAACAUGACAUCAAAUUGUGUCUUCCGUGAAGAACUCUAUUCCAGACCUAAAGAAAUUCUAUUUAUUGAUGGAAGAUAAGCGAAGUGAAAUAUUGUCUUCUUUAAAUGAUUUGUAUCAGGAGAUGUGAAAGAUUGCAGAGUUUGACUUUGGGUACGAGUACAUGUCAUGAAAUAUGAUUAAUCAUCAUGAUUCAUGAAUGACUAGGGUGAAUUGGGACAAAAAUUGGAAGAGCAUUUUAAUUUUGUCAUUUAUUACGACUCAAAGAUAUGGAAUAGGUCUGCAUCACUCCUCACAGA